rnacentral:rRNA from 1 species
AUUGAACGCUGGCGGCAUGCUUUACACAUGCAAGUCGAACGGUAACAGGCCGCAAGGUGCUGACGAGUGGCGCACGGGUGAGUAAUGCAUCGGAACGUGCCCAGUCGUGGGGGAUAACUACUCGAAAGAGUAGCUAAUACCGCAUACGAUCUAUGGAUGAAAGCGGGGGACCGUAAGGCCUCGCGCGAUUGGAGCGGCCGAUGUCAGAUUAGGUAGUUGGUGUGGUAAGGGCUCACCAAGCCAACGAUCUGUAGCUGGUCUGAGAGGACGACCAGCCACACUGGGACUGAGACACGGCCCAGACUCCUACGGGAGGCAGCAGUGGGGAAUUUUGGACAAUGGGCGCAAGCCUGAUCCAGCAAUGCCGCGUGCAGGAAGAAGGCCUUCGGGUUGUAAACUGCUUUUGUACGGAACGAAACGGCUCUGGUUAAUACCCGGGGCUAAUGACGGUACCGUAAGAAUAAGCACCGGCUAACUACGUG